CAAAGACUAAAGAGGACAAAUGGACGCCUGUUUGGGAUGAAGAAUUUACCUUCCCACUGACUGUACCCGAAUUAGCUUUGCUACGAAUUGAAGUACAUGAAUACGACAUGUCAGAGAAGGACGAUUUUGCUGGCCAAACAUGUAUACCUGUUUCGGAGCUGAAACCUGGUAUACAUGCAGUUCCACUCUGUAACAGAAAAGGUGAGAUAUAUAAUUCCGCGAGGCUACUCAUGCGCUUUGAGUUUAUCUGAGGUUUUUUUUAAUUGUUGUGUGCUUCUUGAGCUUUCGUAUUUUUGGAUGUCCUCAGAUGAUGUUUGUUUACAUUUUAGGAGUUUG
rnacentral:misc_RNA from 1 species